GGGUGAGUAACACGUGGAUAACCUACCUAUAAUACUGGGAUGACUUCUGGAAACCGGAGCUAAUACCGGAUAAUAUAUUGAACCGCAUGGUUCAAUAGUGAAAGACGGUUUUGCUGUCACUUAUAGAUGGAUCCGCGCCGCAUUAGCUAGUUGGUAAGGUAACGGCUUACCAAGGCAACGAUGCGUAGCCGACCUGAGAGGGUGAUCGGCCACACUGGAACUGAGACACGGUCCAG
rnacentral:rRNA from 1 species